ACAAAAUGUUCAGUAUAAGAAAUUACUUUUAAUAAUUACGUCAAAACAUGCAAUAGGUGGACUUUUGAGCUAACCCUGGAGAAGGAGCUGGAUUUCACCAGUUAGCCUCCUAUGGAUCUGCCACCAUCAUCACCCUCCCACCCCACCUCCACUGCCUUUUUUCCCAAGACUUUUAAAGAAAUGUUUUAUUGGCCAGGCACAGCGCUUUGGGAGGCUGAGGCGGGCGUGAGAUUGGGAGUUUGAGACCAGCCUGACCAACAUGGAGAAACUGCAUCUCUACUAAAAAUACAAAAUUAGCCUGGCGUGGUGGCGCAUGCCUGUAAUCCCAGCUACUCUGGAGGCUGAGGCAGGAGAACCACUUGAAUCCGGGAGGCGAAGGUCGCGAGUGGUAUUCAGUUAAGAGAACAGUUAUUUCAUAUAAGCCACAUCAGAGACGACUGAAGAUGAAAAAACUACCAUCCCCGUAUAUAACUAGUUUGUGCUGUGCACCAACAAGAACCUGCUUUAAAUUUCCAUGGCAAUUUACAACCCCCAUACUGUACCAGGCAAGGUUAG
rnacentral:antisense_RNA from 1 species